GUGUAUCCAUAGGAUCGAAAUAUAUCUACACAGUGCCUCUGAAAAGCAAGUGCAAACAAGGAUAAACAAACUUAAACCAUCUAAAAAGACACAAGACUGUUAAAUUAUCAUUAUAGAGAACGCUCUUAUUGUUUUACGGUAGCACUAUUGCACGUUUGUUAGAGAUGUUACGGUAUCUGUUUGUAUCACCUGUGUUGUCAGUUGGUUCCCCGUUAAGGCCAAAUUAUAGUCGGGUUGCAUGCACGCACGCAUGCACGCAAGACACGCAACACGCCCCUUUUGUGCCCUCUGCAGGCUUGCGUGCGUCCACCAAUUUUUCUAACUACACGACAAAGCGAUGCGAGCCUCAUGCAGCCCGCAAGGCUUGUGAUUGGUCUGCUUACUACAACCCUGUCCGGAGACUAGUUUCCGGUUUCAUGUCCCAUAAUACGCGGAAAUCACGGAAGAUUUAGAAGAACGAAUAUGGAACAAAUAGAAGAGCACUUGGCAGAAGAGAUCCGAAAGUAUGACCACUUGUAUAACCCGUCACUGACUGGCCGAUUUGUCCGCCAGAAAUAGGCUAUGAGGAGCCGGAGUGGCGAUGUAAAUAAACAGUUGACGAAGAAGAAGACGUCUCUUCUUUCUGUGUUUUGUCUUUGAAAAAAUACGUAACUCCGCCUAGUGUUCUGGCGGUGAAUUGCGUUGCAACACGCGCAACACGUUAGAGAAGUAUAAACCAAAACGAGUCCGUCGAUGCAGCUGCGUGGCCUUCCGCGGUUGCAGUCGCAGGACUAUAAUUAGGCCGGUGUUCAAGAAAAAUAAAGUACUUUUGAAGGAGACGUUUUGCUCAUACUUUUUACGCUAAGUGAGUAAGAAUAACUUAACAGGUUAUGGGCCCAGGGAAGAAGAUGAAGCAAGCGUGAAUUGUUUUAAAGCGACGUAUUUACGCGAUAGCAAGAAGAAGCUUAAAGAAAGUGACGGGAAGCUACGAUGGCUAACCGAGCUACAGGAGCUCCAGCACCCCAGCUGAUAUUCGACGGAUCCGAAGAAAAAUUCGACCUUUGGGAAACAAGAUUCCUAAGCUGCCUUCAUAUUCUGAAGUUAAAGAGAACCAGAUCAAGCGAGCGACGAAUACGGACGGAAGAAUGCAGACUGCUACGCCGAGCUGCUUCUCCUUCCUCUUCUCCAUCCCUAUCCCCCUUCCCCGGAAUCCCUUUGCUUUAUCACCCGCAGAUCCAGGGCCUCUGUGGCCGCACCAUGGAUUGCGGUUUGUUGAUCGCGCACAGGAGGUCGCGGUGGUGGAUCCAGUGUGGCCGGAUUCUGUGUCGUGUAGGCUGAUCGUGGUGGUGGUGGCGGACCCUGUGUGGCGGAUUCUGUGUCGUGUGGGCUGAUCGUGGUGGUGGUGGCGGAUUGAUUGAUUGAGAAAAGAAGAAGAUGCAAACAUUACUUGCUACAAGUGUGGAAUAAAGGGACACAUGGCGAGAAAGUGUUACAGAAAAGUGUGGUGCAAUAACUGUAAGAACAAUACGCAUGCAGAAUCACUUUGUAAGAAAAAGGGGGGACAAGAUGGAGUCAGAAAAGUUGCAGAGGAGCAAGAUGACGACCAAGACCACCUCUUCAUGGCCAAAUAUGUUAAGAGUGAAAGACCACCAGGCAACAUGAAAAUGAAUGGCAUCAUGGUGGAUGCAGGGGCGACUUCCCACAUCGUGAUUGACAUCAACAAGUUCCAGAGCUUCGACAACUCGUUCCAGCCAGAGACCCACUCAGUGGAGUUAGCAGACGGAAGCAAGUGCAGUGGAAGAGCACAACAGAGAGGAACGGCGGUGAUACAUCUUCUAGACAGCGCAGGACGACAACACACAGCGCAGCUACGAGAUGCACUCUACAUGCCAUCGUAUCCACACGACAUCUUCUCAGUGGCAAGAGCAACAAAUGGAGGAGCGACAAUCACCUUCCAGAAGGGGAACAGUCGCAUGAUCACCAAGGAUGAUCCGUAGCCUGGACCCCAAUAAGGCUGGCAGGGACAUCCUAGAGGAGAUCAUGGAAGGGGGUCGAGAGGGCUGGUUUUUUUCGCCUCCUCGAAUUUACCCCUCCUCUAUGUUCACCCCACCACAGAUCCGUAACCUGGACCCUGAUCAGCGUGGCAGGGACAUCCCAGAGGAGAUCAUGGCAGACGGUCAAGGGAGCAGGGAUUCAUCUCCUCCUGGAGGUCACCGCUCCUCUCGCCCAACCCAACAACAGAUCCGUAACCGGGACCCUGAUCAGCGUGGCAGGGACAUCCCAGAGGAGAUCAUGGCAGAGGGUCGAGGGAGCAGGGAUUCAUCUCCUCCUCGAGGUCACCGCUCCUCUCGCCCAACCCAACAACAGCACUCCAAACGGCCUGGCAAACAGACUCCUAAAGCCGUCGACCCCACUAAUCAGCCAAUCGUGAUGAACCAAAAAGGGGCCUCCGACACCAAACCAGGGCCAGAUGAUGAGCAAAAAUUGCAGCCCGUUGUUCUGAGGUCUUCCUCACCUAGGCUUGUGCCACCUGAUGUUCAGCCAAAGAAAUCAGGGAAGGCCUGCAAACCAGUUAUGAAGAGGGUAAGCCUCCCAGCGGAACCAGAGUCAGAUAUAACACAGGUACGACCAAAUAUACACAAACUGAAAUCCACAAAGCAGUGGGCAUAUAUAGAAAUUACAUAUACAGACUUUUCUGAUCAUUAAUGUUAUUCUACAUGAUUGAAGAUUUUCAGAUUAUUGGAAAUUCCAGUAGAAAUUAUGUUUAAAUCUGUAAAUAUAGGAAAAUCAUUGUCAGUUACAAUAAGACUAGUUUUUCAUGUGGAGCGAGAUAAUGGUCUCUGUGCUUGAUGAUCUCAGAGUUUAAAUACCUGUUGUGAGUUAUUCCCCUCAGAACCUGUUCUAGGAGGUCCACAGUAUCCUGAACUGGCAGACGCCUCAGAAGUUCCUCCAGCUGGUGAAGCAGGUGAAGGACUCGCCCAUCGACACGGAGGAGCAGCUCAAAGGAGUCGUGGACCUGCUGUUUGAGAAAGCCAUGGACGAGACCAGCUCAUUGGUGGCCUACGCGAAGAUGUGCAACUGCUUCGCCACGGCAAGCAGCUCACAGUGCCCACCCCUGACAAACCCCAAAAGACAGUGAACUUUCGCAAGCUGCUGAUAAGCCGCUGUCAUGAGGAGUUGGAGAAGUUGGAGAAAGACAAGGUGGAUGAUGUGGCCAAGGACAUGACCCGGCGGCGUUCCAUCGGAAAUAUCAAGUUCAUCGGCGAACUCUUCAAGAUGGAUCACUAUUUUAACUAUAUGGAAGAUAUCGUCACAGAGGGGAAGACGUCCCCUCGGAUACGGUAUAUGUUGCAGGAUACUAUAGACCUGGUUUUGUCGAACGGGUUCAAGCAAGAAGCGGAGGAGGCGCAGGAAGCACACCAACCAGCUGCUGAUAGCUGGUCUGAGGUCUGCCUCACCUGGGCUUGUGCUGCCUGAAGCCCCCGAUGAGAGUGGGUAAGCUCAGGCCACUACUCCCCCUAGAGAACCGGAGCUUCCCCUCCCCGCCUCUCUCAGCCCCCCGGUCCAUCUCCCACCUCCACGGGCUAACUCUAGUGAAUGUCCCUCAGACAGGGAGUCAGACUCUUCUGACUUGUCCUCAGCCGAGAAGGUGA